CCUGCGUGGACCGCGUUUUUCCGACGGUCCAGCCAGUCCCGCCGAGUGACUAAUCCUGCAGGUUGAGCAACCAGCGGGCUCUGGCGCCCGGGAGACGGCGGGUCAUUCCCCCUUCCGCGCCGCGCAACGCCCGGGCCUUGCACAUCCCCUCCCCGCUCCGUCGUCGUUGCUUGGUCGUGCGCGCGGUGCCACCGGCCUUUGCCAUGCGCUCCUCCGCCGUCCCGAGGACGCACGGAUCAGCCUUGCACGUUCCCGAGGAUGCGGGCGGUGCGCGGCUCCCAGACUGCCCAGGGUAGGGAGACGGUGGCCAGAGCAGCGGCGGGAGAAGGCGAGGUCGCAGUGGUAGCGCGCGCCCCUCUGAGAUCGAGCUCUCUGGCCUGCCAUGCACGCACUCCGUGUCCAAAGAGAUCUCCGAAUGCCCCGAAGUGGCACUGCCUGGAACACAGAGCCAGCACCGCAAGCAAAGCCGGCGCUUUGUGGAGCCGCUCGCCCUCGGGAGGAAGAUGCUCAGUGGGAGGGGCCGUGUCCCUAGGACCUUGAGACACUGGCAUCCUCCCAGCCAGGAGCAAAGGGCACAGCCUUCACUGACCCCAGAUGCCCCACCAUCUGCUUGCGGGAGGCCUUCCCGGCGGAGGUCCCUUCUUGCUGGAAACCCCGAAGAAAAGAGUGGCCCUGCCAGACGGAUCAGCUGGAGCAGCGCUGGCAGCCGGUGGGUGACAGAUGUCGUGGAAGAUCACCCCAUGUGCAGCGCACGUUCACGCGAGCAAAUGAGAAUCCUGGGGAAGAAGUGCUGAACGGGUCUCCUAAUCUAGGAGAGACGCAGGCAGGCAUACAACAAAGAAUCAAGACCACAGGAGUGGGCCGGCGCCGUGGCUCACUAGGCUAAUCCUCCCCCUUGCGGCGCCGGCACACCGGGUUCUAGUCCCGGUCGGGGCACCGGAUUCUGUCCCGGUUGCCCCUCUUCCAGGCCAGCUCUCUGCUGUGGCCAGGGAGUGCAGUGGAGGAUGGUCCAAGUACUUGGGCCAUGCAUCCCAUGGGAAACCAGGAGAAGCACCUGGCUCCUGGCUUCGGAUCAGCGCGGUGCGCCGGCCGCAGUGCACCGGCCGCGGCAGCCAUUGGAGGGUGAACCAACGGCAAAGGAAGACCUUUCUCUCUGUCUCUCUCUCUCACUGUCCACUCUGCCUGUCAAAAAAAAAAAAAAAA
rnacentral:lncRNA from 1 species